rnacentral:rRNA from 1 species
UACGUAGGGUGCGAGCGUUGUCCGGAAUUAUUGGGCGUAAAGAGCUUGUAGGCGGUUUGUCGCGUCUGCUGUGAAAUUUCGGGGCUCAACCCCGAACUUGCAGUGGGUACGGGCAGGCUAGAGUGUGGUAGGGGAGACUGGAAUUCCUGGUGUAGCGGUGAAAUGCGCAGAUAUCAGGAGGAACACCGAUGGCGAAGGCAGGUCUCUGGGCAUUAACUGACGCUGAGGAGCGAAAGCAUGGGGAGCGAACAGG